GGUAUAUUUUGUGCCAGCACGGUAUUAUUACUCGUAAAUAAAUAGGUAGGUGCUAUUAUUAUCGCGAGUGACGCGCAAACGAAUGCAACAAAAAACCUAAACCUAAAUCACAGAUAAUCCUAAAUCUUAAACCUGUAAGUGCAAGUCGAUUAAAAUGUAGGCAUAUUUUUGAAUAAACUACGAUACGAGUACGAAAAACUAAAACUAGAUUUUGUAUUUUUUACGAACAGUUCAUUUGAUAUUUACUUGACUGCUCCAGAAGGAGGGUUAUGUUUUUUUUACAUAAUAAUUAUUUCUGAAUAUUUUUAUGGAAAAAUAAGUUUUUUAUUGAUAAUUCUACCUUUAUUACUGCAUGUUUCGAUAUUGCCCUGUUUUAUAUACCUAACAAAAUAAAACAACUUGGAGUUUUAUGAUGAUAAUUUGUAGCGGGAUACGAACCCACGGUUGCUGGAUAUUGAGCGUCGGCUGUGAUCAUUGUGCUACUUGGACAUUAUUAUACCGUGUCGAAAUUUUCAAUAGCGUCUCUAAUCUGUUUUUUGCUUAGUUACAUUCCUUCAUAAACAAAGCAGUAAACUUAUUGGCUUUAGCGCCAUCUUUUGACAUAGCACGCCAAAUAAAUACUCCGCUCAAGUUGCUAGAAUAGAAAGCAUUAGCGGGUAGCAAACCGCGGGACGGUCAAGUCCGCUGCGGCACACUAGCGCGAUCUGUUAUCACCACUAGGAAACCAAACGGGCCGGAGCAGUUUCAAGACUUA